rnacentral:lncRNA from 1 species
GGUGUCGUCAGGCCGAAUGUGUGCCACAGGGUGGUGGCUGACGGUUGUGGGUAGGAUUUUUGCAUACAAGUUGUGGUAUCGACUCUUUCUCUUGAUCGUGAUUGUAAUACACAAUUAUUGCCCAGGGCCCAAAAUCAUUUACACAAACCAAAUACUAAAACUAAAUACAUUUAACCCAAAUAACUCAAACUACAAGCCCAUUAACCUAAACCCAAGCCCAACUACAGUAUAGCCCAAGGGAGAAACCCUAAGCAGUUAGCAGCAGACAAUGCCGCAUGCCCCACGUUCGGUAGCCUCCACAUCGCCCACGUUCAGCCCUCCGCGCACACGACGCACCUCUUUCAUGUUUUCCAUAUACUUGCAACGAACCACUAAUGGAAAAUAAUUACAGAAAAUACGACGAGAAUGAAAUGAGAGUUUUUUGUUUUGUUUGUUAUUUUUCGGCUACAUAAAGCCAAAUAAAAUUUGUAAAAGGGGGGAAGAAAAAAAGAUUGUAUCAAGAAUUUCAGAAAUAUGGAAAAAACAAAGAAUCAAAGAUAAUUUUGAAGUGAUCAGUUUAUUCCGUUUUUCGUUUUCUUCUUACUGUUUUGUUUCUUUUUUUAAUUUUCUUAAUUGUUUUCAAAAUAAAUAAACGAAGUAAAGAGAAAGAGGGGAGAUUCUUACCAACGGUGGCGCGCCGUUGACAUCUUUGCUUCGCUUCGUUUCAAUCGAAGUUGAAAGGGGGGAACUUCAGAGUGAGGAGCAAAGAAGAGGAUGAAGCAACCCCUGC